UUAGGUUCGCUCGAUCCGGCCAGCUGAGCACCUCCUGGGUCGUCCCUGCCUAUAAAUUCGAGGGCGCCGCGUUGUUAAUCCUUAGGUUGGCCAAAGUAUACGCCUCAUCGUGAGAUAGAGAGAAGAUAAAGGGGGAGCUGUCGCUGGUAAUCUUCACCGCCGUGCGGGCCGCGACGGUUACACAAGGAACUUCACCAAGAUCCAACGAAGGGGCGUGCGAAUGAUUACGGGCGCGUGAUUGAGUGGGUGUCGAUGAAUUUCUCGCCGUCGUACCAUGGGUGUCGUGGAUCCGCUCCACACUGCGGGUCGGCCUCACCACAACGCCGACAAUGGUGAGAUUUCUUGCUAAGUGUUCGCCAUCACGUAGAUCACGUCAGGUUCAAGGGUUGCAAGCCUAGGCAAAGUUUCGCACUCGCCGAUGAUGGCCUCCACCACGGGGGCUUGGCGGCGCUGCCCAAAGUCGGUUGGGGGUGGGCGAUGGGUUCUGGCCCGUUGAUCCAACAACGAGCAAUUUCGAUUAGACAACACGUAUCACUUUGGCGUAAUCAAUCCGAACUCUCGAAUCGUGAUCAAGUGGGUGAUAUCAAAAUAGGAUAAAUUAAAUCAGAGGUAUAGAACUUGGAUCCUGUGGCUGUUGAAGAUACCGCUUCACGAUCUAUUCUAGGCCAUGGAUCUAAGAUCCUAGGGCCCAUAUCGCGUACCGGUUCGAUGGUUUGUUUUCAGCCAUCGGAUCUAGAUCCAAUGGUAAGGAAGUAACACUUGUUGUGAGCCGAGGCAAUUUAGCUAAAGAGUCCCUGAAGUACUUCGAAAUUAACCCGCCAUCCUGUUUUUCAUAGCAAAGCCCUCGGGUUAACUUUUAAAAUUGCAAACCACUCACUGGACUCUCCAAAUAGACCCAUGUAGACUGAUUUAGAGUUUAAAGUCAAUAUAAAAAGAAUAGAAAUCUAGAUAAACCAUAUCUUAUUCAUUUUAAGUUCAUUUUAGUCCAUUGAAGUCGCGUUAGCUUCGUAAUAAAAUUGGCUAUAUAGUAACAACAUUAGUUGUAUCAUGUCACACUUUUAUAAUUAGAUAUUUGUUUAAUCUAUGUUUAGUAGAUUAACCUUUCUAAAGUUAAUCUGAGAAUAAUUAUAAUUUGACUAAAAUAUUAUCUCUAAUCAAGUUAUAAUUUAGAUUAAAGAUGAGUUUGUAUUUUGAAUAUCUUUCUCACACGAUGUAUAUUAAUCAACUUAUAAACAUAAGUUUUAAUGUUUAAUCACCUAAAUCUUCAAAAAAACCAUAUCUUAUUAAUCGUAACUCCGAUUUUAGUGAAUCUCGAGCAUACGAUCUCGUAGCGGCGCAUAGAAUAUUAUUGUGUGGUUCGUUUUCAUCUUUGGUGUAAUGUUAUUUUUACCUAUUCUUUGUCUAUCUAUAUGUAUUGCUACGUGUAGAAACGAGGUAACGGGAAUUGAAGGCCAAGUUUUGGGGAGACAUAUGGACAACAUGUUAUCAUAAGUAAAAGGUAAGUUGUGUCCUUGGUCACUUUCUUUGACCUAAUAAUGUUCUGUUAUUCACCUUGGCAUAGUUAGGUUAAGCUGAUGGAACCUAAUAGGUUGCGUAGUUUGUUUAUCCUACACCUUGCAAACAAAUGAACUAUUGGGUAGUCUUGCUAUUGCUCUACCUGGUUUUGGGACUAAUAUUACAUUUAAAUUAUGAUCAUGCUCUAUUAUUAUUGUUGGUUUAAUUAUUGUUCAUGAUAAGAUCAUUUUGUUAAUUGGAACAUGGAGCGACCACCCGAGAAAACAGUGCUACCAUAAGGUUGGCCAAUUAAUUUAGAAAGCUAGGGAAAGAUUACCUUACCCGAAAGGGGGAAGCCGGGAGUGAAUCGCUACAGAGUAUGGGGAGGCUCUCGAGUCGAACUGUUUGUGAUAGCUGUUCGGACGAGGGAUUCAUGUGCUUCCUUUUGCCUGAAACCGCAAUGGGUUUUCUAAAACUAGUGGAAUUUUGGAAAGGCUUUGUAGUGCUACUCUGCCUCGUCUCCUCGGUAGAGAUGAAUGGGAGUCGAGAUUGCUUGGCAAAUGGGUAACACGACUUGUGGGUAAAGAUGCACAACCUUUUGCAGGAUGUAAAACUGGUAUAUCAGUCAUGCUCACGGUCAAGAGCGGCCCAGACCCUCACAUGAGUAAGUUAUGGAAUUAAACUUAACCUUUCAUUUGCAUUGCAUUGUGAGAUUUAUUCAUCAUUGAGAUCAAUUAUUUAAUUGGGUUGGUAUUGACUUAUACUUAAUAAUUGCUAAUAGAUUUUUGACCAACACUAAAAGCAAUGCUCAGCCUUAACCAUUUUCCUUGGUAAGCCUUACACUACACUUUUUCCCACAUUUGCUGAGCAAUGAACGCAUGUGAGCUCACCCUUGCUAUACUCACACGAGGUCAAGAAUAGGUACCGCCAAGAUGAGGAGCAUAAUUGAUGCUACGAUGAGUUCGAAAAGGUCUAGACCGUCGUCUCCCAGUCAACUAUGGUUGCAGAGGAUUGUUGCCAUCAUAUGAUGUAUUUAUUUAGUUAUUUUGUACAGAACCCCUAUAUGUAAUAAAGAUGUGACAUUAAUUUCUGUACCA
rnacentral:lncRNA from 1 species